UACGUAGGGUGCAAGCGUUAAUCGGAAUUACUGGGCGUAAAGCGUGCGCAGGCGGUUGUGCAAGACCGAUGUGAAAUCCCCGGGCUUAACCUGGGAAUGGCAUUGGAGACUGCAAGGCUAGAAUCUGGCAGAGGGGGGUAGAAUUCCACGUGUAGCAGUGAAAUGCGUAGAGAUGUGGAGGAACACCGAUGGCGAAGGCAGCCCCCUGGGUCAAGAUUGACGCUCAUGCACGAAAGCGUGGGGAGCAAACAGG
rnacentral:rRNA from 1 species